rnacentral:lncRNA from 1 species
GUGAUGGGACUUUUAAUUUUUUUUAUGAAAAAUUUAGUAUUGAGAUGAUUAUAUCACAAAAAUAGAACUUGUUUACAAGCUUUAAUAAAAAAAAUUUAAAAAAAAAUAAAAGAUUUGAACAAAAACCUAAGGUCAUGAUUAAAACUAUUAACAUGAGGUUUUACUUUCAACAUAAUUAGAUAUUUCUCUAAAGUAACUGUAUAAAUCUUGUUUUAUAUGAAUUGACCAAAAUCAAGAAACUAGUUUUUAUAUGGUAAAACAAACGGCUAAUUAUUUCGAACAAAAAUUUAAGGUCAUGGUUGAAUAUUAUUACCAUGAGGUUUUACUUUCAACAUAAUUGGAUAUUGCUCUAAACUGGCAUCAACAUAUUUUGAACCCAUGGAAUGAUGGAAUUGUCAAACUUCACUUGCAAAUGCACAACAAACUCUUUAUUGUAAGAACUAGCAGACAAUAAAUAUAGGGGUGUAUUAUCCACACACCAUUUUUUACUUCUCAAUUCUCACACAUUCCUUAUUGAUUUCUAUCAUUUAAUUUCUUUAAUUCAGUCGAUCAGACGACAACAAAUUAAGAAAGUGUGUAUGAAGUAAAAAGUGGUGUUUGGAUAACAUACCCCCUAAAUAUAUACUCCUAAAAGUUCAGGACAGGCUUAGGUCUAGCCUCUA